AAAAAGGAACGGAGGUGGGGGAGAGCAGGGAAUUCCUUAAGAAUCACCCUAAUAUACCCAACAAGAAAGUGGUGGGCCAAACAGGACAUAGGAAUCCAAGGAUGAGUUUUGCAUAAGAACAGAAAUCGCGGCCUUCCACUUGCCAUUUUAUUUCCUGUCUCCCGGUUGGGAGGAAAGCUGGAGAAAGUGGUUCCAGUUUUUGGCGUCUGUGGAGAUAAUCGUAUUUUUCCUUCUUAACAAAUGAAUAUGAGUUAUAUUCAUAGAUUUCUUAACAUUUUUGCAUUAAAAAUUUUUUUGAGUUUUUGUGUUCCUGAGAUGAAUCUCACUUAGUUGAUCUAUAUUACUAUUUUAAUGUACUUUUAAAUUAUCUUUAUGAAUAUUUUAUUGAGAAUUUUGGCUCUCAUAUUUAAAAAUGAAAUUGUCUGUAAUACUUUCCCACUCUCCGGCACCUGAGUCCAUGGCUUUGGCAGCCAUAGUGAUCAUGAACUUCCGGCUAUGUCCUAGAGUCAUUUAUCUCCGAGGAUGUCAGGAGGAACCCCAAAAUGUCAUCAAGACACUGGCUACAGGUCUAAACUCCAAUAAAAUCCAGCUGGGUUACAUCAAUUCAGACAUCUGGAUAAAAGGAUGAAUGAAACCAUGUACAUAAUACAGAAUUAUGCAUGCCAGGAAAAAAAAUUAUACUGCCUAAAAGCUGCAACCUUCAUGACAUCAAAUCUAUUUUAACACUGGCUGGUUAUGUGAGGAAAAGGCUAAUAAAAAAAAAUUCUGGCUGACCAAA